ensembl:lncRNA
AAAAAUUCACAGGAAAAAAAAAUGCCUGGAAAAGGAAAAAAAAUGGGAGAAAAAAUGGGGGAAAACAAAAAUCCUGGAAAUAAAAAAUCUGGAAAAAAAAAUUCUUGGAAAAAGAAAAAAUUCCCAGAAGGAAAAAAUUCCAAUAAAAAAAAUUCCCAGGAAAAAAAAAAAGAGAAAAAUCCGGAAAUAAAUUAAAUAAAAAUCUUCAAAAUAAUUUUUUUUUAAGACAAAAAAAAUCGGAAAAAAUUCCAAAAAUUUGGAGGGAAAAGGGGGAAAAAAAGGGAAAAGAAAAAUAAAGAAAUUGGGAUUUUUUUGGGGAAUUUUUACCUUUUUUUUCCCUAAAACUGGAAAAAUUCCCAAUUUUCCUCAAAAAAACCUGGAAAAAUUCGCUUUUUCAUCCCCAAAGAAAGACAAAAAAUUCAGGGUUUUUUCUUCAAAAAUAAUUGGAAAAAUUCCCCUUUUUUUCCCUCAAAAAAACCUGGAAAAAAUCCGGUUUUUUUCCUCAAAAAAAAACCCGAAAAAUUCCCUUUUUUCCCCCAAAAAAAAAGCAGAAAAAUUCCCUUUUUUUCCUCAAAAAAAACCUGGAAAAAUUCGCUUUUUUCCCCCCCAGAAAAAGUAAAAAAUUCCUUUUUUUUCCCCCCCAAAAAAGCAGAAAAAAUCCGUUUUUUUCCCCAAAAUAAUCGGAAAAAAUCCCUUUUUUUCCCCAAGAAAAGACAGAAAAAUUCCCUUUUUUUCCCCCCCAAAAAAAUCGGAAAAAUUCCCUUUUUUCCCUCAAAAAAACCUGGAAAAAUUCGCUUUUUUCCCCCCAGAAAAAGAAAAAAAUCGCGCUUUUUUCCCCCAAAAAAUCGGAAAAAUUCCCUUUUUUCUCUCAAAAAAACCUGGAAAAAAUCCGGGUUUUUUUCUCAAAAAAACCAAAAAAAUUCCCUUUUUUCCCCCCCAAAAAAAGCAGAAAAAUUCCCUUUUUUAUCCCCGAAGAAAAACAAAAAAUUCAGGUUUUUUUGUUCAAAAAUAAUUGGAAAAAUUCCCUUUUUUCUCCUCAAAAAAACCUGGAAAAAAUCCGGUUUUUUUCCUCAAAAAAAAACCCGAAAAAUUCCCUUUUUUCCCCCCAAAAAAGCAGAAAAAUUCCCUUUUUUUCCCUCAAAAAAAUCGGAAAAAUUCCUUUUUUUCCCCAAAAAAAUCAGAAAAAAUUCCCUUUUUUUCCCUCAAAAAAACCUGGAAAAAUUCGCUUUUUUCCCCCCCAAAAAAUCUAAAAAAUUUCCUUUUUUUCCCCAAGAAAAAGUAGAAAAAUUCCCUUUUUUUCCUCAAAAAAAAACCCCAAAAAUUCCCUUUUUUUCCCCCAAAAAAAUCGGAAAAAAUCCCUUUUUUUCCCCCAAAAAAAUUCUAAAAAAUUCCUUUUUUUCCCCCCAAAAAACCCCAAAAAUUCCCUUUUUUUCCCAAAAAAAAAACCAGAAAAAUUCCCUUUUUUUCCUCAAAAAAACCUGGAAAAAAUCCGGUUUUUUUCUUCAAAAAAACCCAAAAAUUCCCUUUUUUUCCCCCAAAAAAAUCAGAAAAAUUUCCUUUUUUCCCCAAAAAAAAAUCGGAAAAAAUCCCUUUUUUUCCCCCCAAAAAAUCGGGAAAAUUCCUUCUUUUUCCCCAAAAAAAAGCAGAAAAAUUCCCUUUUUUUCCUCAAAAAAACCUGGAAAAAUUCCCUUUU